rnacentral:rRNA from 1 species
UACGUAGGGUGCGAGCGUUAAUCGGAAUUACUGGGCGUAAAGCGUGCGCAGGCGGUUGUGCAAGACAGAUGUGACAUCCCCGGGCUCAACCUGGGAAUUGCAUUUGUGACUGCACGGCUAGAGUGUGUCAGAGGGGGGUAGAAUUCCACGUGUAGCAGUGAAAUGCGUAGAGAUGUGGAGGAAUACCGAUGGCGAAGGCAGCCCCCUGGGAUAACACUGACGCUCAUGCACGAAAGCGUGGGGAGCAAACAGG